rnacentral:rRNA from 1 species
UACGAAGGGGGCUAGCGUUGCUCGGAAUCACUGGGCGUAAAGGGUGCGUAGGCGGGUCUUUAAGUCAGGGGUGAAAUCCUGGAGCUCAACUCCAGAACUGCCUUUGAUACUGACGAUCUGGAGAUCGGGAGAGGUUGGUGGAAUUCCGAGUGUAGAGGUGAAAUUCGUAGAUAUUCGGAAGAACACCAGUGGCGAAGGCGGCUCACUGGCCCGAUACUGACGCUGAGGCACGAAAGCGUGGGGAGCAAACAGG